ACAUGCCUAUAGCAUAACAUUAAUUCAUUGAAUCCCAUUAGAAAUCCAUAGUUCAGCGCACUCAGGAUAGAGUAGUACUGGUAUGGGUAACCACCUAGGAAGUCCUAGUGUUUUACAUGCC
rnacentral:rRNA from 1 species